rnacentral:rRNA from 1 species
AGCAGCCGCGGUAAUUCCAGCUCCAAUAGCGUAUAUUAAAGUUGUUGCAGUUAAAAAGCUCGUAGUUGAAUUUCGGGGUUCUACCGUUGGUCGGGCAAUAGUCUGUACUGGCGUGUGGAAUUUCUACCUUCUGGGGAACUAUCAUGUUAUUUAUUUAGCGUGGUAGGAAACCAGGACCUUUACCUUGAAAAAAUUAGAGUGUUCAAAGCAGGCUUACGUCUGAAUACAUUAGCAUGGAAUAAUAAAAUAGGACGGUGGUCCUGUUUUGUUGGUUUCUGAAUCACCGUAAUGAUUAAUAGGGAUAGUUGGGGGCAUUAGUAUUCAAUUGUCAGAGGUGAAAUUCUUGGAUUUAUUGAAGACUAACUUCUGCGAAAGCAUUUGCCAAGGAUGUUUUCAUUAAUCAAGAACGAAAGUUAGGGGAUCGAAGACGAUCAGAUACCGUCGUAGUCU